UGAUGGCAUACCAUUUGCAAUAGCAGACAACCCAAGGUAGUGAAAAUGGGGUUUGUCCAGUCUUUUUAGUAGCCACUUGGUCACAAAAACUAGUCAAAGUUAACAUUAAUAUUUGUUUGUGUGUGAAAAAAAUGCAAAAAACUAAUUUGAACGCCAAUUUUGGCCAGUGUUUGUGACUAAGUGGCUACCAAAAAAGACUGAACAUACCCCAUUUGCAAUACCUUGGGUAUUUCUUAUUCCUGGGCUACCAUACGGUCUCAAAGCAACGUAACCAAUCUGAAUUUCAAUGUGAAAAAACUGAAACGCAAGCCUUAUAUUUGACUCUCUAACUUUUGAAAACACCAUAAAACCUGUACAUGAGGGGUAGUUAUACUCAGGAGACUUUGCUGAACACAAAUAUUUGUGUUUCAAAACAGUAAAAAGUAUUACAGCAAUAAUAUUGUCAGUGUAAGUGCCGUUUGUGUGUGAAAAAUCGGCUGACACAUGGUAAAUACCGAUCGUAGUGACAGCCUGUCACUGCGAUCGGAGGCUGCAGACCGCGGUCACUGGACAUGCCCCCCAAAUGCGAAAUGCAGCGGGCUCAUGGUACCAGCCAUGUGGGCGAAAAAAACGGCUAUGACGUUCUAUGCCAUCCUGCGGCGUUUAGAGCCAGCCCCUUAAGGACGGCAUAGAACGUCCUCCGUCCUUAAGGAGUUAAUGUAAAUAUACAUGAAGGGUUUGCCUCCGAGUCAACAUUUGAACAAAAGAUGCAUCUUUUAUCAUUGUCACUACAGUAAAUUAUAGGUAGAGGGAAUCCAUAGGAAAGCAAUGGAUUGGCUAAUAUUGCCAAGGAGGCAGAUCAGGGGCAGAGCAAGCACAAGCCAAACACAGUCCUGGUCAAUCAGCAUCUCCUCAUAUAGAUGCAUUGAACCAACGCAUGUCUAAAAGGAAAGUUUAGUGUCUCCAUGCAGAAGGUGGAGACACUAAAUGGCAGUCACUGCCUCAGGAAGCACCUCCAGUAGCCAUCUGAGGAGUGGCCAGUGGAAGUAAUGUAAACAACACUGCAUUUUCUCUGAAAAGGCAGUGUUCACUGCAUAAAGCUUGAAGGGAAUGAUUAUACUCACCAGACUAAAUGCAACAAACUAUAGUUGUUCUGGUGACUGUAGUGUCCAUUGAAACACAAUUAAGAAGAAAAAAAUUGCUUUAAUUGCCUCUAAUACGGAGACCAGCAGAAUGCAUUAAAUUUCCUUAAUUCACUUUUUAGUGUACUUUUCUCGUUUUAAUUUCUCACCCCAUUUAUCUCUCUUUUUCAUCUCAGUAACCUUUUAAAGGGACCACUUCAUCUCAUUGCAAACUCCCAUUACCCUUAACCAUGCAGUGGAAAU